rnacentral:rRNA from 1 species
CGAUGGGAAUGACGUUAAUAUUCGUCAGCCACCUAUGGAAGGUUUGUACUGCAUGGGGGGGUGCGGAAGGCUAGAGGAACCGUGCGGUUAGAAAUGCACGGCCUGGUUGUAGGUGGGUUUCUUAGGAAAAUCCGGGAAACCAUUCAACACUGAGGUACCAGGCGAUCCGGGUGUAUGCUCGGAGUAGUCCUUGACGCCAAGCCGACUAGAAAAGCCUCGGCAGGACGACCAUAGGUGACCGUACUAAAACAGACACAUGUAGGCGAGGAGAGUAUCCUAAGGCGCUCCAGAGAAACCAGCUGAAGGAACUAAACAAACUAGCCCCGUAACCUAGGGAUAAGGGGUGCUUCUCUCCGUGUAAGGACUUGCUCCUGAAGCGGAAUGGGAAGUCACAGCAAAGCGGGCUGGGGAACUGUUUAUCAAAAACACAAGUCUGCGCAAACUCAAGUAAGAGGACGUAUGCAGACUGACGCUUGCCCAGUGCUGGAAGGUUAAGGGGUGGGGUUAGCCGUAAGGCGAAGCUCCUAACCGAAGCCCCAGUGAAAGGCGGCCCUAACUAUGAGGGUCAACGGACGCUACCGCCACCCAGAAGUUUUGGGAGAUGGUAAUGGGCCCUCGAUAAACCUGGCUGUAUGCUGGAAAACCCGUGUAUCCUCCACUACCGCAUCGAAAGGUGAGGUGACAAUGUGCGAGGUGCGGACAAUCAGCAGGAAACCUGAAAGGGGAUCCUCAGAGACUGUACGCCGGGAAAUCAGUGCAACAAACAGUUCACACCCAGGGUUAGAAGUUUAGUUUUUAAGUAAUCCAAGUAAGUUAUUCGACCGUCUCUAUCCGACCUAAGCACAUGAUUAAGAGCCAGUCCGAUCCCCACGGCGACGUGGGUCCGAAGUACGUGCCUAAGGUAGCGAAGUUCCUUGUCGGGUAAGUUCCGACGCGCAUGAAUAGCGUAAUCACUUGGCCAUUGUCUCCAGCUGGUCCUGGGCGAAAUAGCAACAGCGGUGAAGAUACCGCUUACCCGCCAUAAGACGGAAAGACCCCGUGAACCUUUACUGCAGCCCUAGUAUUGAAUUUUGGUUAAACAUGCGUAGGCUAGGUGGGAGACUUUGAAGCUUCUCCUCCGGGAGGAGUGGAGUCACAAGGUGAAAUACCACUCUUGUUUAAUUAGGAUCCUAACCCCGUACCGUGAAUCCGGGCGGGGGACCGUGCUAGGCGGGCAGUUUAUCUGGGGCGGAUUCCUCCUAAAGAGUAGCGGAGGAGUUCCAAGGCAUCCUCAACGCGGUUGGCAAUCGCGUGACGAGCGCAAGGGCAUAUGGAUGCUUAACUGCGAGACCGAUCAAGUCAAGCAGAUGUGAAAGCAGGACCUAGUGAUCCGGUGGUCCCGAAUGGAAGGGCCAUCGCUCAUCGGACAAAAGGUACUCCGGGGAUAACAGGCUUAUCGCCUCCAAGAGUCCACAUCGACGAGGCGGUUUGGCACCUCGAUGUCGGCUCAUCGCAUCCUGGGGCUGAAGAAGGUCCCAAGGGUUCGGCUGUUCGCCGAUCAAUAGCGGUACGUGAGCUGGGUUCAGACCGGCGUGAGCCAGGUCGGUCCCUAUCUAUGGUGGGCGCAGGAGAUUUGAGAGGACCUGCUCUUAGUACGAGAGGAUCAGAGUGGACGUCCCUCUGGUGCGGCUGUUAUCCCGCUAGGGGUACACGCAGCGUAGCUAUGGACGGACGAGAUAACCGCUGAAGGCAUCUAAGCGGGAAGCUCACCUCAAGAUGAGAUCUCCCUGAAGGCCACUCGAAGACCACGAGUUCGAUAGGCCGGGUGUGUAAGGGUUGUGAGGCCCUCAGCUAACCGGUACUAAUCGGCCGUUCGGCUUAUCCGU